GACGAACGCUGGCGGCGUGCUUAACACAUGCAAGUCGAACGGAAAGGCCCUGCUUUUGUGGGGUGCUCGAGUGGCGAACGGGUGAGUAACACGUGAGUAACCUGCCCUUGACUUUGGGAUAACUUCAGGAAACUGGGGCUAAUACCGGAUAGGAGCUCCUGCUGCAUGGUGGGGGUUGGAAAGUUUCGGCGGGUGGGGAUGGACUCGCGUCUUAUCAGCUUGUUGGUGGGGUAGUGGCUUACCAAGGCUUUGACGGGUAGCCGGCCUGAGAGGGUGACCGGACACAUUAGGACUGAGCUACGGCCCAGCCUACUACGGGAGGCAGCAGUGGGGAAUAUUGUACAAUGGGAGGAGGCCUGAUGCAGCAACGCCGCGUGCGGGAUGACGGCAUUCGGGUUGUAAACCGCUUUCGCCUGUGACGAAGCGUGAGUGACGGUAAUGGGUAAAGAAGCACCGGCUAACUACGUG
rnacentral:rRNA from 1 species